rnacentral:rRNA from 1 species
AUUGAACGCUGGCGGCAUGCUUUACACAUGCAAGUCGAACGGCAGCGCGGGGCAACCUGGCGGCGAGUGGCGAACGGGUGAGUAAUAUAUCGGAACGUACCCAGAAGUGGGGGAUAACGUAGCGAAAGUUACGCUAAUACCGCAUACGAUCUACGGAUGAAAGUAGGUGACCGCAAGGCCUUAUGCUUUUGGAGCGGCCGAUAUCUGAUUAGCUAGUUGGUGAGGUAAAGGCUCACCAAGGCGACGAUCAGUAGCUGGUCUGAGAGGACGACCAGCCACACUGGAACUGAGACACGGUCCAGACUCCUACGGGAGGCAGCAGUGGGGAAUUUUGGACAAUGGGCGCAAGCCUGAUCCAGCAAUGCCGCGUGAGUGAAGAAGGCCUUCGGGUUGUAAAGCUCUUUUGUCAGGGAAGAAACGGUAGAGGCUAAUAUCCCUUGCUACUGACGGUACCUAAAGAAUAAGCACCGGCUAACUACGUG